rnacentral:tRNA from 1 species
AUGGCUCAGUGGUUAAGAGUACUGGCUGCUGUCCCAGAGGACCUGGGUUCAAUUCCUAGU